rnacentral:rRNA from 1 species
UACGUAGGGUGCGAGCGUUAAUCGGAAUUACUGGGCGUAAAGCGUGCGUAGGUGGUUCGUUAAGUCUGAUGUGAAAGCCCUGGGCUCAACCUGGGAAUGGCAUUGGAAACUGGCGACCUAGAGUGCGGUAGAGGGUAGUGGAAUUCCCGGUGUAGUGGUGAAAUGCGUAGAUAUCGGGAGGAACACCAGUGGCGAAGGCGACUACCUGGCCUGUUCUUGACGCUGAGGCGCGAAAGCUAGGGGAGCAAACGGGG